UAGCUCGGAUAUGUUGUAAACCAGCUGCACAAAACAAGACCGACCGUCAGGAGACCGAACUCACGGAAGCAAUAAUGAAAAUAAAGAAGAGAGAAACUCACCCGGAUCAUCAUCGGGUAGAAUGAAGACAGCAUGUCAGAGACACGCUGAUUCUUCAUCGCCUCGAUGUCGGCUGGGAGAAGGAGCGCCUGGCACAGCCUCCUGGCCAAGUCGUGGUUGGCAAGGCCCGACGCACUUUUGGGGAAUGGGAAGUCGGUCGACACCCCAUCACCGGCCGACCUUCCUUCGUCGCCC
rnacentral:lncRNA from 1 species